AGUGAACGCUGGCGGUAGGCCUAACACAUGCAAGUCGAACGGCAGCACAGAGGAGCUUGCUCCUUGGGUGGCGAGUGGCGGACGGGUGAGGAAUACAUCGGAAUCUACUCUGUCGUGGGGGAUAACGUAGGGAAACUUACGCUAAUACCGCAUACGACCUACGGGUGAAAGCAGGGGACCUUCGGGCCUUGCGCGAUUGAAUGAGCCGAUGUCGGAUUAGCUAGUUGGCGGGGUAAAGGCCCACCAAGGCGACGAUCCGUAGCUGGUCUGAGAGGAUGAGCAGCCACACUGGAACUGAGCCACGGUCCAGACUCCUACGGUGGGCAGCAGUGGAGAAUAUUGGACAAUGGGCGCAAGCCUGAUCCAGCCAUACCGCGUGGGGGAAGAAGGCCUUCGGGUUGUAAAGCCCUUUUGUUGGGAAAGAAAUCCAGCUGGCUAAUACCCGGUUGGGAUGACGGUACCCAAAGAAUAAGCACCGGCUAACUUCGUGCCAGCCGCCGCAGUAA
rnacentral:rRNA from 1 species